UACGUAGGUGGCAAGCGUUGUCCGGAUUUAUUGGGCGUAAAGAGCUCGUAGGCGGUUUGUCGCGUCUGCUGUGAAAACCUAAGGCUCAACCUUGGGCUUGCAGUGGGUACGGGCAGACUAGAGUGCGGUAGGGGUGACUGGAAUUCCUGGUGUAGCGGUGGAAUGCGCAGAUAUCAGGAGGAACACCGAUGGCGAAGGCAGGUCACUUGGGCCGCAACUGACGCU
rnacentral:rRNA from 1 species